rnacentral:rRNA from 1 species
AGUGAACGUUGGCGGUAGGCCUAACACAUGCAAGUCGAACGGCAGCACAGUAGGAGCUUGCUCUUACGGGUGGCGAGUGGCGGACGGGUGAGGAAUACAUCGGAAUCUACUUUUUCGUGGGGGAUAACGUAGGGAAACUUACGCUAAUACCGCAUACGACCUACGGGUGAAAGCAGGGGAUCUUCGGACCUUGCGCGAUUGAAUGAGCCGAUGUCGGAUUAGCUAGUUGGCGGGGUAAAGGCCCACCAAGGCGACGAUCCGUAGCUGGUCUGAGAGGAUGAUCAGCCACACUGGAACUGAGACACGGUCCAGACUCCUACGGGAGGCAGCAGUGGGGAAUAUUGGACAAUGGGCGCAAGCCUGAUCCAGCCAUACCGCGUGGGUGAAGAAGGCCUUCGGGUUGUAAAGCCCUUUUGUUGGGAAAGAAAAGCAGCAGGUUAAUACCCCGCUGUUCUGACGGUACCCAAAGAAUAAGCACCGGCUAACUUCGUG